rnacentral:lncRNA from 1 species
UUGCGUUCUGGGAUGUUUUUCAGCCUGAUGGUAUUACAAACCAAAAACCUCUUUUCUGAAGAAUACUAUGAAGAUGCACAAAUGGAAAUGUAUGAAGCCAGCAUAGGAAGAAGAGAGGAUAAAAAGUUGUUCCCUUCUAGUGCAGGAAGACGAUCUUCAUACAGAGAGGUAGUUAUUUCAAAGCUGGUUUCCCAGCAUUUCCAUGCUUGGUGGGAGGUGGGCAUAAACAAACCCAAACCCAAAGUGACUUAGGCACAAUCACAAACAGAGCUCAAAGAGACGUGAGUCUGCUUGCAAACUUGAAUAUAAACAAUCUAACUUUACAGUGAAAGUUUCUAGAGGAGCAAUUCCAGUUCGUAGCAAUCAGGUGUCCACAAUGCCAGCAGCAUGCAGAGUUUUUUUUGGUGUUACUGUCUUCCACAAGAUGUCUGUACAGUCGUUCCUAGAGGUGUGCUGUCCUGUGCUACCCUGUGCUUUACAGACAGAGCGGUGAGUGUGCAGAGACGGUUCUGUAGUGCAGCCUCCAUUCGUUGAACCGUGCCCCAAGGGUCUCUGCCAGGCCCCAUCCCUUAUAACUGAUAACGUUUGAUCCUGCCUCUAAAAGUGUGCAGAGGAAACCCAGUGGGAGAACAAACAACUAAGCAAAUUUCCCUCUUUUGAGGCAGGGCUGGCAGGAGGCUUGGUUCUCCUUGUUAGCUUUCUGGGGGUGCGGGAGGAAGGACUGCUUCAGCAGGGGAAUAUCAGAGCUGGCUUGUCUCAUGAUGUUUACACGUCCUUUCAGAUGUCACUGUAAGUGCUCCUGCUCUUAGCUGGGAGAAGUGAAGGCCUGUCAGGGAACGAAAAUGGCUUCUGAUGUUCCUGGAUAACUGUUUUAUUAGCUGC